rnacentral:rRNA from 1 species
AUCUACGGCCGUGCCACCCUGAAUGUGCCCGAUCCUGUUUGAUCUCGGAAGCUAAGCAGGGUCAGGCCCGCUUUGUACUUGGAUGUAAGACCACUUAGGAAGACCAGGUGCUGUAGACA